AAGAGUUUUCUUUUCUCUGUAAGGAGAUCGAGUCCCUGGAAUGGGUUCGCCCCGAGAUAGGGAUGGUGGCUCCGUAGAGCAGUGCGGUUCUUGCGCUGUCCGGUGCGCUCGCGUCGGCCCUUGAAAAUCCGAGUGAGGGAGUGUGAUUUUCGUGCCGGACCGUACCCACAUCCGCAGCAGGUCUCCAAGGUGAACAGCCUCUAGUCGAUGGACCAAUGUAGGUAAGGGAAGUCGGCAAAACGGAUCCGUAACCUUGGGAUAAGGAUUGGCUCUGAGGACUGAGCCGGUCGGGCUGGGGACCUGAAGCAGGAACGGCACUUUAUAAUUUAGUUUCACAUCUUCAAACUUUGAAAAGUAAUGGUAGAAUAUCCUUGUUAAUUUCCUUAGAUUUUUCUGGGGCGUUUGACUCUCUAUGUUAUCCGUUUGUUCUGCAUUUUUUGCAAAUGCAUCAAUGUCCAUGUAAUUUAUAUAAUCUUCUUUACUCUUUCUUUAAGAACAGAAUAGUCAGUUAUAUUACACAGGAUAAGCAUCAAAUUAAUAAAGAUGUCCCAGUAGGUUGUCCACAGGGUUCUCCUUUAAGUCCUCUACUCUGGAAUAUAUUAAUCAGUGACUUAUUAAAUAUUACUUUUCAUCCAUACGUGCACAUACAGGCAUUUGCGGACGAUGUUAUUCUCGUAAUUGACGGUUUAUCCCGUCGACAAAUUGAGACUCGCGCAGAUACUACCCUUAAGCUAUUACACAGAUGGGCCCAGGAUAGGAAACUUAAUUUUAACUAUGAUAAAUGCUUUUGUAUGUUGAUAGCUCAAGGAACAACAUAUCUUAAACGUAAUCCAAUAAUUAAAUUUAAUCAAAAUAAACUAAAGAUAAAACCUGAAAUAAAAAUUCUAGGUGUGGUUUUUGAUUCCCAUCUAUCAUUUCUUCCUCAUGUUACGUAUCUCAAAAAGAAAGUCUUAGAACAUACAGUGAACCUUGCACGUUUUUCUGCAUGUAAUUGGGGCAUUAACCCUACACAAUU
rnacentral:ncRNA from 1 species